ACGGCUCAGUAACACGUGGCUAAUCUGCCCUUAGGACGAGAACAACCCCGGGAAACUGGGGCCAACUCUUGAUAGGUGAAGAACUCUGGAAUGAGUCUUUGCCUAAAAAGAUUCACGUUAUCCUCGUGAACCUGCCUAAGGAUGAGGCCGCGACCGAUCAGGUUGUUGGCGAGGUAAUGGCUCACCAAGCCUUUUACCGGUGCGGGCCGUGGGAGCGGGAGCCCGGAGAUGGGUACUGAGACAAGGACCCAGGCCCUACGGGGCGCAGCAGUCGCGAAACCUUUGCAAUACACGAAAGUGUGACAGGGCUAUCCCGAGUGCCAUCCGCUGAGGAAGGCUUUUACCCAGUCUAGAACGCUGGGGGAAUAAGGAGAGGGCAAGUCUGGUGUCAGCCGCCGCGGUAAUACCAGCUCUCCGAGUGGUGUGGAUGUUUAUUGGGCCUAAAGCAUCCGUAGCUGGCUAGGUAAGUCCCUUGUUAAAUCCACCGAAUUAAUCGUUGGAUCGCGGGGGAUACUGCUUGGCUAGGGGACGAGAGAGGCAGACAGUAUUUUCGGGGUAGGGGUGAAAUCUUAUAAUCCCGGGAAGACCACCAGUGGCGAAGGCUGUCUGCUAGAACGCUCCCGACGGUGAGGGAUGAAAGCUGGGGGAGCGAACCGGAUUAGAUACCCGGGUAGUCCCAGCUGUAAACGAUGCAGACUAGGUGUUUGGACGGCCACGUGCCGUUAUAGUGCCGCAGGGAAGCUGUUAAGUCUGCCGCCUGGGGAGUACGAUCGCAAGAUUGAAACUUAAAGGAAUUGGCGGGGGAGCAC
rnacentral:rRNA from 1 species